CCCUUAGAUGUUCUGGGCCGCACGCGUGCUACACUGAGUGGAUCAGCGGGUCAGGUUGCGCGAAAGCGUUUCCUAAUCUUUAAAUCCGCUCGUGAUGGGGAUUGACGGUUGCAAUUUUCUGUCAUGAACGAGGAAUACCUUGUAAGCGCGGGUCAUCAACCCGCGCUGAAUACGUCCCUGCCCUUUGUACACACCGCCCGUCGCUCCUACCGAUUGAGUGGUCCGGUGAGGCUUUGGGAUCUGAGCGGAAAGAGCGUUUCGCUGUUUCUGCUCGGAAAACUCAGUCGAACCUUAUCAUUUAGAGGAAGGAGAAGUCGUAACA
rnacentral:rRNA from 1 species